UACGUAGGGUGCGAGCGUUGUCCGGAAUUAUUGGGCGUAAAGAGCUCGUAGGCGGUCUGUCGCGUCGAUCGUGAAAACUUGGGGCUUAACCCUGAGCUUGCGGUCGAUACGGGCAUGACUGGAGUUCGGCAGGGAAGACUGGAAUUCCUGGUGUAGCGGUGAAAUGCGCAGAUAUCAGGAGGAACACCAGUGGCGAAGGCGGGUCUCUGGGCCGAUACUGACGCUGAGGAGCGAAAGCGUGGGGAGCGAACAGG
rnacentral:rRNA from 1 species